GGCAGCUUGGCCGAGUGGUUAAGGCGACAGACUAGAAAUCUGUUGGGUUCUCCCGCGCAGGUUCAAAUCCUGCAGCUGUCG
rnacentral:tRNA from 1 species